rnacentral:lncRNA from 1 species
AUUUAAGUCAACAGAUGGAAGAGUGUCAUGGAAGGGUGCCUGUGAGGAAGAAACUGGAGCAAAAAAGAUGGAAACCCCAGCAAGGACGAUGAGUAAUGAAGAUUGCACCUUUGCAAUUUAUCUUCUCUCUCACAAAAUUAAUGCUGGAAUUCGAGAUUACUGUGGGGCUGUUUAUUAGUGAUGACAACUGUAUGGGCUUGGUUUGGAAAAUG